AUGUUUGCUAGUCUUGAAUGCAUGAUACCGGCUAAGUUACCACCACUAUGGCCUGCAUUCCAAAAAUAUGCAAGUAGCGAGUGCUUAUAUUCAUCACUGGUAUUACCGCUUCAAACAAAACAAAUAAAUCCCACAUUAUCCGCACUCCACGUGCAUCGAAAUCUCUCUAAUUAUGAGCCACACAAUAGAAAGGCAAAAUAUCUUGCCAAAGUACUAAUAGAAAUAUCGCAGAUAAUUAGUACAACAUAUAGUUUGCAUGAUACAGGUUCCACUCUUGUUCAACCACCAGCAACCAUGGAGCUAGAACCACAGCUAACAACUGCACCCGCAGAUGGAAGGAAAUCACACUGA
rnacentral:rRNA from 1 species